GCGGGAGUGGCGCAGUGGUAGCGCGAAUCCUUGCCAAGGAUUAGGUCGCGGGUUCGAAUCCCGUUUCCCGCU
rnacentral:tRNA from 1 species